UCAAUGGACAUUCAGGAACAAUCCAUUUAACCCUUAUUAGGUCAGUGUCAAUGGCCAAGAUUGAAACGCCAGCGAAACGGGUUUUGCCGUUGAUAUAACACGAGCAGCGCGUUUUCAAUGCGAUUUCGAAACCGCAGUUGCAUAAUGCAUAACAAGUGAAAAUACGUCUGUAAAGGAAUUGUCGUAGCGUCUCGUAACAUAGCAUCAAGUUAUCGAUGUUUUAUACAGCAACGAGAGUGAAAUUUUAAUCGGUUCGGUGCAAACCCGAUACGUGUAUUGAGAAGACAGUCCUUCAGUGACAACGUUAUUCAAUUUCUAAUAUUGCACAACGAUCUAAGGUGUGUUGUAAUCAUUUUCUAAGGAAAAGUAGCAGGAGUCGCAGCCUCAACCUGUUAUUUGCGAUUCGUUUCGUACCGAAAGACUCCUCUACUUGCAACUUCAUGCUGUUUCGGAGCAUACACUCCCCGGUUUACUUUACACUAAUUGGCAGUAAUCACUGCUUGACUCCGGUUCAUGGGAAAGAGGGAAGUACUGCCACGAGACGUCUAAG
rnacentral:misc_RNA from 1 species